rnacentral:rRNA from 1 species
GACGAACGCUGGCGGCGUGCUUAACACAUGCAAGUCGAACGGAAAGGCCCUGCUUUUGUGGGGUGCUCGAGUGGCGAACGGGUGAGUAACACGUGAGUAACCUGCCCUUGACUUUGGGAUAACUUCAGGAAACUGGGGCUAAUACCGGAUAGGAGCUCCUGCUGCAUGGUGGGGGUUGGAAAGUUUCGGCGGUUGGGGAUGGACUCGCGGCUUAUCAGCUUGUUGGUGGGGUAGUGGCUUACCAAGGCUUUGACGGGUAGCCGGCCUGAGAGGGUGACCGGCGGCAGUGGGAGUUAGAGAAGGAGCGGCGGGAGACGGACGGCAGAAGGGGGGGUGAGGGCAGAGGGGGGGGAGGUGGUAUGCAGCGGUGGCGUGUGAGGGAGGGGGGGUGGUGGGUUGGAAACAGAAAUCGCGGGAGAACAACGGUGAGGGAGGGUAAUGGAUAAAGAAGAACGGGCUAACUAGGUG